UGUUAGGACCUGGAGGGAUUGCUAGAGAUGGGCACUGCCUGAAAGGUCCACGUCAGUCAGCAGAGUAGCCCCAGAGAUGACAGAAGAGCUGUGGUGAUGAACAUCUAAGGCUUAGGUUGUUCCAGGCAUGAGCUAGUGUGACACUGUAUGGUCCAGCACCCUGAAGACAGAAAAGGCCUGCACACAACCCCAGCUGUUGUGCUGAGGCGAUGCCACUGAAGGGCAAGGAAACCAGAAGAACACAGAAAAUUCUGAGAGGGGUCCUAUUUCUUGUCCUGGGCUGUGGUAGGUUUGAGUGCACAAGCCCUUUGUGCCUGUGGCCUGGGUCUCCCAUUUCCAUUUGUUAUUAUAAUCUCCAUCUCCUCUCAGAGCCCUGUCUAGUCUGUGAGGCCUGAGCCACAUGUCUCAGGUUCUUCUGUCUCCAUAAAGCCAUCUUUGUCCCC
rnacentral:lncRNA from 1 species